rnacentral:rRNA from 1 species
GAUGAACGCUGGCGGCGUGCCUAAUACAUGCAAGUCGAGCGAACAGACGAGGAGCUUGCUCCUUUGACGUUAGCGGCGGACGGGUGAGUAACACGUAGGUAACCUACCUAUAAGACUGGGAUAACUUCGGGAAACCGGAGCUAAUACCGGAUAAUAUUUCGAACCGCAUGGUUCGAUAGUGAAAGAUGGCUUUGCUAUCACUUAUAGAUGGACCGGCGCCGUAUUAGCUAGUUGGUAAGGUAACGGCUUACCAAGGCAACGAUACGUAGCCGACCUGAGAGGGUGAUCAGCCACACUGGAACUGAGACACGGUCCAGACUCCUACGGGAGGCAGCAGUGGGGAAUAUUGCGCAAUGGGCGAAAGCCUGACGGAGCAACGCCGCGUGAGUGAUGAAGGUCUUCGGAUCGUAAAACUCUGUUAUUAGGGAAGAACAAAAGUGUAAGUAACUGUGCACGUCUUGACGGUACCUAAUCAGAAAGCAACGGCUAACUACGUG